CGCGGGUGAGUAACGCGUGGGUAACCUACCCUGUACACACGGAUAACAUACCGAAAGGUAUGCUAAUACGGGAUAAUAUAUUUGAGAGGCAUCUCUUGAAUAUCAAAGGUGAGCCAGUACAGGAUGGACCCGCGUCUGAUUAGCUAGUUGGUAAGGUAGCGGCUUACCAAGGCGACGAUCAGUAGCCGACCUGAGAGGGUGAUCGGCCACAUUGGAACUGAGACACGGUCCAA
rnacentral:rRNA from 1 species